CCCUAGUAACGGCGAGUGAAGCGGCAACAGCUCAAAUUUGAAAUCUGGCCCUCGGGUCCGAGUUGUAAUUUGCAGAGGAUGCUUUUGGCGCGGCGCCUUCCGAGUUCCCUGGAACGGGACGCCAUAGAGGGUGAGAGCCCCGUCCGGUCGGAUGCCAAGCCAGUGUAAAGCUCCUUCGACGAGUCGAGUAGUUUGGGAAUGCUGCUCUAAAUGGGAGGUAUAUGUCUUCUAAAGCUAAAUACCGGCCAGAGACCGAUAGCGCACAAGUAGAGUGAUCGAAAGAUGAAAAGCACUUUGAAAAGAGGGUUAAAUAGUACGUGAAAUUGUUGAAAGGGAAGCACUCAUGACCAGACUUGGGCGUGGUUGAUCAUCCGGCGUUCUCGCCGGUGCACUCUGCCUGCCCAGGCCAGCAUCAGUUCGUCGCGGGGGAUAAAGGCGGCGGGAACGUGGCUCCUCCGGGAGUGUUAUAGCCCGUCGUGCAAUACCCUGCCUCGGACUGAGGUUCGCGCUUCCGCAAGGAUGCUGGCGUAAUGGUCAUCAGUGACCCGUCUUGAAACACGGACCAAGGAGUCGUCUUCGUAUGCGAGUGUUCGGGUGUCAAACCCCUACGCGUAAUGAAAGUGAACGCAGGUGAGAGCUUCGGCGCAUCAUCGACCGAUCCUGAUGUUCUCGGAUGGAUUUGAGUAAGAGCAUACGGGGCCGGACCCGAAAGAAGGUGAACUAUGCCUGUAUAGGGUGAAGCCAGAGGAAACUCUGGUGGAGGCUCGCAGCGGUUCUGACGUGCAAAUCGAUCGUCAAAUAUGGGCAUGGGGCGAAAGACUAA
rnacentral:rRNA from 1 species